UUGUGAGUGCUUCUGAUGGAAAAACAAGAAGCGUGGAUAUAGUUGAAAAGAAGAGGAGGUACCUUGAAUGAAGUGCUUCUGAUUUUUUGAUCUGGUUUGGGAUAAGCAGCAACAGUUGCCAAGAAAUCCAACACCACUGACCCACACCCCACCUGCACAAUCACAAUAAAGGUUUCAUUUUUAAGCUUCAAAGAUGAAAAGGGAGUGAUUGAAUCAAAGAGUGUACUCACUACAAUGGAGUUUUCAGGAAGAAAAUCACUGGACAUAUUGCUCACUAAGUCAAACCCAGCAAAGAGUGUGAUUGGGACCUAAUAGAGAUAAAUUAUUUUGGGAGUAAGUUUUAUAAUUUUAAAAUAGUUAGUUAAUGGCUAAAUUAUUUUUAAAAUUACAAAUAUAUCCUAUUGUACAUAACCCAUGAUCAUAAGCACCAUUUUUUUUACACGGGGUGAACGAGUUCUUAGUAAUUCGGUGGUGUCCGGGUGAGAGUGUUUUAGAUAAGAUUUAAAAUCAGAUUCUCAUAAACAAUUCAUUUAUAACUGAAAUUUAUUGACUACUUGAGUGUAACCAUUUAAUAAUAAUAUUGUGUUUGUCCAAUUAUUCUCAUCGUUAAUUUCAGAAAACAAAAUUAGUAUUUUGAAAAUACUAAGAAACUAUUUUCACCAUUUCCAAAAAUGUCACUGUAAUCAAACUGCAUAUGGUGAUGGAAAUGAAAA
rnacentral:lncRNA from 1 species